GGAAGAAUUAGGCUGCAUGAUUUGGAAGAGCGGACAGCUACUCCACUGCUGGUUUCAAGUCAGGACGGACAACACGAGACAAGAACUCACGUUGGCAGAGACAUAACAUCUCGAGAAUCUCUGAAACUUGUCAGAACUCUAGCUCACUGUGGGUCUAGAAAUGACAACUUGGAUGGUAAGUGGAUAUUCAGCCAGUGUAUCACUAUCCAGCUCUGACCCAGAGGAGGACUGCCAAGGAAGAAUUUACACCCAAAGGAUGCAGAAGCUGAAUAUUCACCACACCAAAUCUUUCCUCAGAUGUACAGCAGAUUUUAGACAGCAAAGGAUCUGCUACCUUUAGAGGUUUUACUGAAUAUGUAGCCUUUCAGCUGGAAAAGAAGAUGGCAUGAUAUCAUCCAAUCAUGUUGGCUCUCAGAAGCCAAGCAGGGUCGGUACUUGAAAGACCGACCCAUUGCAUAGGAAUGUGUGCCAUGCAC